AGAAAAUGUUUUUUUUUUGGGGGGGGGCGGUUUGGGGGAAGGCAGAAGGAGAAGAAAAUUUGAUUGUGAUGGUGGUGGAUUUUUUCCAAAUUUCCCCACAGCUGUUAUCAAAACAUGCAAAUGAGAUUUUCCAACAGGAUCUUAAACAAAUCUGGAGGAGUUAAUGCCGAAGCAAAAUAAUCAGCACGUUUGAAGUGACUGCGAAAAAGAACUUCUCCGUCAGUCACCUGCUAGACCUGGAGGAAGCCGGGGACAUGGUGGCGGCACAGGCGGAUGAGAACGUGGGCGAGGCUGGCCGGAGCCUGCUGGAGUCGCCGGGACUCACCAGCGGCAGCGACACCCCGCAGCAGGACAAUGACCAGCUGAACUCAGAAGAAAAAAAGAAGAGAAAGCAGCGAAGGAAUAGGACAACCUUCAAUAGCAGCCAGCUGCAGGCUUUGGAGCGUGUCUUUGAGCGGACACACUAUCCUGAUGCUUUUGUGCGAGAAGACCUUGCCCGCCGGGUGAACCUCACCGAGGCGAGAGUGCAGGU
rnacentral:sRNA from 1 species